rnacentral:rRNA from 1 species
AUACGAAGGGGGCAAGCGUUGUUCGGAAUAACUGGGCGUAAAGCGCACGUAGGCGGAAUGUUAAGUUAGAGGUGAAAUCCCAUGGCUCAACCCUGGAACUGCCUUUAAUACUGGCACUCUAGAGACCGAGAGAGGUGAGUGGAAUUCCGAGUGUAGAGGUGAAAUUCGUAGAUAUUCGGAGGAACACCAGUGGCGAAGGCGGCUCACUGGCUCGGUACUGACGCUGAGGUGCGAAAGCGUGGGGAGCAAACAGGAUUAGAAACCCUAGUAGUCC